rnacentral:tRNA from 1 species
GCGGAUGUGGCGGAAUUGGUAGACGCACUGGAUUUAGGUUCCAGCGCCGAAAGGUGUGAGAGUUCGAGUCUCUCCGUCCGCA